CAGCAGUGAGGAAUAUUGGACAAUGGGCGAGAGCCUGAUCCAGCCAUGCCGCGUGCAGGAAGACGGCCCUAUGGGUUGUAAACUGCUUUUACAGAGGAAGAAACACCCCGACGUGUCGGGACUUGACGGUACUCUGCGAAUAAGGAUCGGCUAACUCCGUGCCAGCAGCCGCGGUAAUACGGAGGAUCCAAGCGUUAUCCGGAAUCAUUGGGUUUAAAGGGUCCGUAGGCGGGACAAUCAGUCAGCGGUGAAAGUCUGUGGCUCAACCAUAGAAUUGCCAUUGAUACUGUUGUUCUUGAAUACUUAUGAAGUGGUUGGAAUAUGUAGUGUAGCGGUGAAAUGCAUAGAUAUUACAUAGAACACCGAUUGCGAAGGCAGAUCACUAAUAAUUUAUUGACGCUGAUGGACGAAAGCGUAGGUAGCGAACAGGAUUAGA
rnacentral:rRNA from 1 species